rnacentral:rRNA from 1 species
UGGUAACAAAGUGACGCGACCCCGUGAGGGCAAGCCAACCACAGAAAAGCCAUCUCAGUUCGGAUUGUAGGCUGCAACUCGCCUACACGAAGUCGGAAUCGCUAGUAAUCGCGGAUCAGCAUGCCGCGGUGAAUACGUUCCCGGGCCUUGUACACACCGCCCGUCACACCAUGGGAGUUUGUAACGCCCAAAGUCGGUGGCCUAACCUUUAUGGAGGGAGCCGCCUAAGGCGGGACAGAUGACUGGGGUGAAGUCGUAACAAGGUACC